GAUAUUGCACAAUGGGGGAAACCCUGAUGCAGCGACGCCGCGUGAGUGAAAAAGGUUUUCGGAUUGUAAACUCCUUUUAUCAGGGACGAUAAUGACGGUACCUGAAGAAAAAGCUCCGGCUAACUACGUGCCAGCAGCCGCGGUAAUACGUAGGGAGCGAGCGUUGUCCGGAAUUACUGGGUGUAAAGGGAGCGUAGGCGGGAUGGUAAGUCAGGUGUGAAAUAUAUGGGCUCAACCCAUAGACUGCACUUGAAACUGCUGUUCUUGAGUGAAGUAGAGGUAAGCGGAAUUCCUAGUGUAGCGGUGAAAUGCGUAGAUAUUAGGAGGAACAUCGGUGGCGAAGGCGGCUUACUGGGCUUUUACUGACGCUGAGGCUCGAAAGCGUGGGGAGCAAA
rnacentral:rRNA from 1 species